GGGAGAGUGUGGCCAAGGGAAGCAGCUCACAUGGUGAUCACCAGGCAGAGAGAGACUCCACUCUCCAUAUACAAAAUUGAUACCCCAUAGAUACUCCCCAAUUCUCACCACCAGCUACAUCCCACCUGGCUCCAAUUACCAGUUAAUCCCAUCAGGAAUUAAUUCGCUGAUUAGGCUAAGGCUAUAACCCAAUCAUUUCUCUUCCAAACCUUCUGCAUUGUCUCAUGUGUGAGCUUUCAGGGGAUACCACCCCUAAACCAUAACAGUACAUAAAUACACAUACACAUGUACAUGUGUGCAUAUAUGAAUCUCCCCAUCUCCCUCCUUAUCUGACAGCCUUCCAGAAUUACAGCUUUCCAACUCCAAAUACAAUGCAGAAGUACAGUAACCAGAUAGGUCUCUCUACCUAUUUCCUGCUCUUUACAUUAUGGUUAUUAUGUGAAUUCACCUUAUGCAUUGAAAUACCCACAAGGAACUGUAGUAAUUUUGCUUUUUAAUCAUUCAUAUUAGACAUGCAAGGGGAGAAAAACAGCCCACUUUAAUUGACCCUUCGGUCAUUUCUGUUCUUUCAUUCUGGAAACUCCCUGUUUGCUUCUCAUUUUCCUUCAGCCUAAGGAACUUCCUAUGGUAUUUCUUAUAGCCAAAAUAUACUGGAAAAAUAAUUAGUUUUUCUUCCUCCAAGACUGCCUUUAUUUUUGAAGGAUCCUUUCUUGUUACAGAAUUUUAAAUAAAACUCGACAGUUCUUUUUUUCAGCAACUAAAAGAUGUUUCCCCAUGA
rnacentral:lncRNA from 1 species